rnacentral:lncRNA from 10 species
CUCACGCCUGUAAUCCCAGCACUUUGGGAGGCCAAGGCGGGUGGAUCACUUGAGGUCAGCAGCUCGAGACCAGCCUGACCAACCUGGUGAAACCCCGUCUCUACAAAAAAUACAAAAUUAGCCGGACGUGGUGGUGCACGCCUGUAAUCCCAGCUACUCGGGAGGCUGAGGCAGAAGAAUUGCUUGAACCUGAGAGGCGGAGGUUACAGUGAGCCGAGAUUGCGCCAUUGCACUCCAGCAUGGGCAAGAAGAGCAAAACUCUGUCUCAAAAAAAAAAAAAAA